AGAGUUUGAUCCUGGCUCAGAACGAACGCUGGCGGCGUGCCUAACACAUGCAAGUCGAACGGGAUUUGAGAGCUUGCUCUUAAAUUUAGUGGCGCACGGGUGAGUAACGCGUAGAUAAUCUGCCUGAUGAUCUGGGAUAACACUUCGAAAGAGGUGCUAAUACCGGAUAAGCCCACGGAGUCUUUGGAUUCUGCGGGAAAAGGGGGGGACCUUCGGGCCUUCUGUCAUCAGAUGAGUCUGCGUACCAUUAGCUAGUUGGUAGGGUAAUGGCCUACCAAGGCUACGAUGGUUAGCUGGUCUGAGAGGAUGAUCAGCCACACUGGUACUGAGACACGGACCAGACUCCUACGGGAGGCAGCAGUAAGGAAUAUUGGUCAAUGGGCGCAAGCCUGAACCAGCCAUGCCGCGUGCAGGAAGACGGCCCUAUGGGUUGUAAACUGCUUUUGUCAGGGAAUAAAUGUAGAUACGUGUAUUUACUUGAAGGUACCUGAAGAAUAAGCAUCGGCUAACUCCGUGCCAGCAGCCGCGGUAAUACGGAGGAUGCAAGCGUUAUCCGGAUUCAUUGGGUUUAAAGGGUGCGCAGGCGGAUUGGUAAGUCAGGGGUGAAAUCCCACAGCUCAACUGUGGAACUGCCUUUGAUACUGUCAGUCUAGAGUAUAGUUGAAGUUGGCGGAAUGUGUCAUGUAGCGGUGAAAUGCUUAGAUAUGACACAGAACACCGAUCGCGAAGGCAGCUAGCUAAGCUAUAACUGACGCUCAUGCACGAAGGCGUGGGGAUCAAACAGGAUUAGAUACCCUGGUAGUCC
rnacentral:rRNA from 1 species